AUGGUCGCCUACGUGGGCGGUGCUCGGAGAAGGCUGGCGCCGCAGCGCGUGCUCGAGAUCCUGGCGGGCAAGCUCGACAUCACGGAUGAUCAGGUCUCGGUGCACCCGUACAGGCCAGAGGAUUUCCUGGUAGUUUUCGCCUCGGCGGCGAUCAGGAACAGAGUCGCGGCGUGUCCGGAGGUGGAGUUCCAGGGAGAUAGGCUGUACUUCAGACCGUGGAACCGGCAGUCACAGGCAGUGCACUCGAUCUUGGGAUCUAAGGUUUGGAUCGUCAUGGAGGGGAUCCCGCCCCAUGCUUGGGAGAGGGAGACGGCGGAGGACCUUCUAGGCACGGCGUGCAAGGUGGACGCGGUGGCGCCGGAAACUAGCUCAAGGUCAGAUCUUUCGGCAUUCAGGCUCACGGCGUGGACUGCUAAUCCAGAGGCGAUCCCUUCCCUUCGCUGGCUCGCCAUCCCGGAGCCUGGCUCGGAGAUCCCUCCGCCGCUGUUGCAGUACAAGGUUCUCAUACACGUCGACGCAGUUGCAGACUUCAUAGAAGCUGGGGAGCCUUGGUUCUUGGGCGGCUCCUCCGAUAGUGGUCAGAGCGGUCUGCCAGGCUCGCCGGAUGGGUUCAGUGACGAUGGAGGCGGCGCCAGGCCGCGGCAGCGAGUUUGGCAGUUUUGUGUGAGAGAUGCGCGCGGCGGCGAGCUUGGGCGCGAGGGAAACGGCGGCGGCCAUGGUGGCUCAACGAGGAGCGCAGAGAGGACAGACUGGCGCCUGCCCCCGAUGGCCCCCACCCCGGUCGUGUCGCAUGGCGGGCCCACGAUGAGGGUGCAGGAUAGGGUGACAGCCAGGAAGUCAGCUUUUGACUGUCUUUCGGGUCAGCAGCUGGGUGGGGACGCACGAGAGAAGGUUCCCGAGACUAGUUUGAACAGUGGUGGCGCGUUUUUGACCGGGUAG
rnacentral:rRNA from 1 species